rnacentral:rRNA from 1 species
CGGACGGGUGAGUAACACGUGGAUAACUUACCUAUAAGACUGGGAUAACUUCGGGAAACCGGAGCUAAUACCGGAUAAUAUAUUGAACCGCAUGGUUCAAUAGUGAAAGACGGUUUUGCUGUCACUUAUAGAUGGAUCCGCGCCGCAUUAGCUAGUUGGUAAGGUAACGGCUUACCAAGGCAACGAUGCGUAGCCGACCUGAGAGGGUGAUCGGCCACACUGGAACUGAGACACGGUCCGAGACUCCUACGGGAGGCAGCAGCG